UCAAAACAGCGGCCUUCGGGCCUCGCUUGCACCCUUGUCUUUUGCGCACCGUAUUGUUUCCUCGGCGGGCUUGCCUGCCGGUUGGACAUCAUAAAACCUUUUUGUAGUUGCAAUCAGCGUCAGAAAAACAAUAAUUAUUA
rnacentral:misc_RNA from 1 species